UAGGUUAGGAAAUCUAGUGUGUAGGGAGUGAUGAAGAUAGUUGAUUUGGGGACGGGGGGGGGGCGAAAAAAGGAACAGGAAAUUUCUUAAGGGGGGGAGCGUUGAUCCGAUGAUCGAUAACUAGUCGAAACCCCUUCCGUAAGGGUGAACCUGCGGAAGGAUCAUUACCGAGUUUUCGAGCUUCGGCUCGACUCUCCCACCCUUUGUGAACGUACCUCUGUUGCUUUGGCGGCUUCGGCCGCCAAAGGACCUUCAAACUCCAGUCAGUAAACGCAGACGUCUGAUAAACAAGUUAAUAAACUAAAACUUUCAACAACGGAUCUCUUGGUUCUGGCAUCGAUGAAGAACGCAGCGAAAUGCGAUAAGUAAUGUGAAUUGCAGAAUUCAGUGAAUCAUCGAAUCUUUGAACGCACAUUGCGCCCCUUGGUAUUCCGGGGGGCAUGCCUGUUCGAGCGUCAUUACAACCCUCAAGCUCUGCUUGGAAUUGGGCACCGUCCUCACUGCGGACGCGCCUCAAAGACCUCGGCGGUGGCUGUUCAGCCCUCAAGCGUAGUAGAAUACACCUCGCUUUGGAGCGGUUGGCGUCGCCCGCCGGACGAACCUUCUGAACUUUUCUCAAGGUUGACCUCGGAUCAGGUAGGGAUACCCGCUGAACUUAAGCAUAUCAAUAAGGCGGGAGGAAAGAUCAUUACCGAGUUUUCGAGCUUCGGCUCGACUCUCCACCUUUGUGGAACGUACCUCUGUGGGCUUUUGGCGGGCUUUCGGCCGCCAAAGGGACUUUAAACUCUGUCGUUAAAACGCAGACGUCUGGAUGAAACAAUUUUAUAUAAGACUAAAAACUUUUCAACGAACGGGAAUCUCUGAGGGGUUCUGGGCACUCGAAUGGAAAGAAACGCACGCGAAAAAUGGCGGAUAAAGAUAAAAUGGUGGAAAUUUGGCAGAAAAUUUCAGUUGGAAAUCCAUCCGAAAUCUUUUUGAAAACGCAAAAUUUGGCGCCCCCUUUGGGGUUAUUUUCCCGGGGGGGGGGGCAAUGGCCCUGGUUUUCUAAAGAGGCUCCAUUUUAACAAAC
rnacentral:rRNA from 1 species